GUCAGGUGACCAGAAGGGGGCAGGCCAGGACUAUAAAAACUCUGGGCUGGGCAGCAGUUGGGGUGAGCAGCCAAAGGGGAAGGAGUGCAUCCCAGAUCUCCACGGAGAGGCUUGGUGAGCGGUCCAAAGGCUGGAGGAGGGGAGCUACAGAGGACCCUGGAGAGACAGCAGUAAUCCCAGAAGGAGGACUGUAGCUGACAGUAGGGAGCAGAAGCACAAACCCCUGUGUAAAUAUGGGGCAGUCAGUUAUUUCAAGAGGGUAAGACUGGGUCCUUCCAGAGCCAAAAGACCAAAAGGCUGUUCCAUUUCCUGAGGACCUGCCAAUGGAAUGAAAAUGAACUUUGCAGUCUGGUUCUUCUUAUGUCAGAGAACAUCCUCAUUCACUAUAACACCUCAGUUAAUUCCAUGGACACCAUCACCUCAAGCACUGAAUGAGACAGGGAUCAAAAUUUCAGUCCAGCCUGUCAAACCUUGGUAAAGUUGUAAACUACUCUAUUCAGGGUCUGUAUUGGAAAACACAGAGGAAAUUUAGGUUUGGGCAGCAUGUGUAGGGACACCAAUAAGUUAUGUAUAAAAUAAAACAUUGGGUGCAACUUCAAGACUGUUAACAAUUAUUUUAUAUGAGAACACAUUAUUUUUGGAUAGCUUUUUAAGAGAGGAUUAUUUUCAGAAAUAAUCUGUUCCAGUUUAUUCCUUUUGAAAUAAGUGCUUUUAUGGUUCUCUGUAUACUACACUUUAAUUACUCUGUACUCUUGGCAAUGAAAUAUGUCACCUUAGUCAUACGCAAUCAUUUUAAGGUACAGCAGUAAAAAGAAAAAAAAACA